GUGCCAGCAGCCGCGGUAACACGGAGGGUGCAAGCGUUAUUCGGAAUUAUUGGGCGUAAAGGGCGCGUAGGCGGCCGCAUCAGGUCAGAUGUGAAAGCCCGGGGCUUAACCCCGGAAGUGCAUUUGAAACCGGUUGGCUUGAGUAUGGGAGAGGAGAGCGGAAUUCCUGGUGUAGAGGUGAAAUUCGUAGAUAUCAGGAGGAACACCGGUGGCGAAGGCGGCUCUCUGGACCAAUACUGACGCUGAGGCGCGAAGGCGUGGGUAGCAAACAGGAUUAGAUACCCUGGUAGUCCACGCAGUAAACGUUGUUCACUAGGUGUAGUGGGUAUUGACCCCUACUGUGCCGCAGCUAACGCAUUAAGUGAACCGCCUGGGAAGUACGGUCGCAAGAUUAAAACUCAAAGGAAUU
rnacentral:rRNA from 1 species